GACGAACGCUGGCGGCGUGCUUAACACAUGCAAGUCGAACGGUGAACUCCGCUUGCGGGGGGAUCAGUGGCGAACGGGUGAGUAACACGUGGGCAACCUGCCCUCAGCUCUGGGAUACUCCAAGAAAUUGGGGCUAAUACCGGAUAUGACCGCUGACCGCAUGGUCUGGUGGUGGAAAGAUUUAUCGGCUGGGGAUGGGCCCGCGGCCUAUCAGCUUGUUGGUGGGGUAGUGGCCUACCAAGGCGACGACGGGUAGCCGGCCUGAGAGGGUGACCGGCCACACUGGGACUGAGACACGGCCCAGACUCCUACGGGAGGCAGCAGUGGGGAAUAUUGCGCAAUGGGCGAAAGCCUGACGCAGCGACGCCGCGUGGGGGAUGACGGCCUUCGGGUUGUAAACCUCUUUCAGCAGGGACGAAGCGAAAGUGACGGUACCUGCAGAAGAAGCACCGGCCAACUACGUG
rnacentral:rRNA from 1 species